UGAUGACUAUUCCUCCUGUUGCUGCCUUUAGGUUUGGCACUAGGAUUUUAGGUCAUCACACAAUAAAAAAAAAUUUUUUUUCACUCAGAGAAUAUUAAGAUAUUGGAAUUAUCUAUGUGUUCUCUGAAAGUUGCAGGAUCAAACAAUU